AUUAGUAACAAGAAUUUUGGAAACUAUGGGGUGGGGUUGUAGUUCAGUGGCAGAGCGCUUGCCUAGCAUGCAUGAGGCACUGAGUUUGAUCCUUAGCAUCACAUAAAAAAUAAAUAAAAUAACUGCAUUUUGUCUAUGUAGAACUGCAAAAAAAAAAAAAGAACUUUGGAAAUUAGAAGUGUAUGGAAACUAAAGAUUAUUCUCUUAUACAAUCCGAGGUUCAAUAAAAAUAUUAAAAGGGAAAUUUAAAAUUUACUGAGGAAAAUCACAAUGGAAACAUCACAUGCGCAAAGCUAUGGGAUAUGGCAAGAAGAGUUCUACGAGGGAGGUUUAUGCAUCAAAUAACUAUAUCAAAUGAAGAAAGAUCUUAACAAGUGUUGCACCUAAGGAACAAGAAAAAUAAGAAAUACUGAGCCCAGAAUUAGUAGAGGAAAGGAAAUAAUAAAGAUCAGAGAAAGAAAAGAAAAAAAAAGAAACAAACUAGAAAGAUAAUUGAAGAAUCAAGAAAAGGAAGAGUUUGUUUUUUGAAAAGACAAAAUUGACAAACUUUUAUCUAGAGAAAAACGACUGAGGACUUACUAAAUAUCAGAAAUGAAGGGGACAUUACAACUGACACUACAGACAUGCAAAGCAUAAUGAGAGACAUCAUGAGCCAUUAUGUGCCAAUAGGUUGGACAAAGCAGAAGAUAGGAAUAAAUUCGUUGACAGAAAAAUCAACCAAGAUUGAAGUGUGAAGAGAGAAAAUCUAAAGAGAUCACCAGUGAAUAAGGAAACUGAAUCAGUGAUAAAACAUUUCCCAUUAAAAGAAAGGUCCAAGACCUGAUGGCCUCACUGUGGAAUUCUAUGAACUAUUUAAAAAAGAAUUAAUAUCAAUUUAUCUAAAAUUUUUUCCCCAAAACAUCAAAGAGGAGAGAAUAUUUUAAAAAACUUUUUUAU
rnacentral:lncRNA from 1 species